UACGGAGGAUCCAAGCGUUAUCCGGAAUUACUGGGCGUAAAGAGUUGCGUAGGUGGCAUAGUAAGCAGAUAGUGAAAGCGUGGGGCUCAACCUCAUAUACAUUAUUUGAACUGCUAAGCUAGAGGGCGAGAGAGGUAGCUAGAAUUCCUUGUGUAGGAGUGAAAUCCGUAGAUAUAAGGAGGAAUACCGAUGGCGUAGGCAGGCUACUGGCUCGUCCCUGACACUAAGGCACGAAAGCGUGGGGAGCGACCGGG
rnacentral:rRNA from 1 species